rnacentral:rRNA from 1 species
CACGUAGGAGGCGAGCGUUGUCCGGAAUCAUUGGGCGUAAAAGAGCGCGCAGGCGGCUUGGCAAGUCGGGUGUGAAAUCCCGGGGCUCAACCCCCGUGACUGCAUCCAAUACUGUCAGGCUAGAGGUAGGUAGGGGGAGAUCGGAAUUCCUGGUGUAGCGGUGAAAAUGCGCAGAUAUCAGGAGGAACACCGGUGGCGAAGGCGGGGUCUCUGGGCAACUACUGACGCUGAGGAGCGAAAGCGUGGGGAGCGAACAGG